UUUCCGUAGGUGAACCUGCGGAAGGAUCAUUAAAAAAUUGGACUCCAUUGGUGAGUUCAUUAAUAAUCCCUACCCUUUGUGAAUUUGUUUGUUUGAAUAAUUUUUUUUCCAAAAAAAUUAUUGAAUGUCUUUCCUGUUUUGGUGGAGCUUGUAAAGUGAAACCAGGCAGGGGAAUGGCAAACAAUAAUUAUUUUUGAAAAAGACCUUUUUUAAAAUUAAACUUUUUGUAUUCAUUUGUCUAAAAUUAUUUUUAUAAUAUAAAAACAACUUUUGACAAUGGAUCUCUUGGUUCUCGCAACGAUGAAGAACGCAGCAAAAUGCGAUAAGUAGUGUGAAUUGCAGAAUACGUGAAUCAUCGAAUCUUCGAACGCAUAUUGCACUUUUUUAGUUUACUAAAAAAGUAUGUCUGUUUGAGUAUCAGUAAAAUAUUCUCAUAAAAACAUUUAUUUUUUAUGGUUAUGAGUGUUUUACAACGAUAACAAGUUGUUUCACUUUAAAUUCUUUGUUAUCAAAAAAAUCAUUAAAAGCUAAAUUUAAAGAUUUUUUAAAAUUGGAUAAAAUUUUCCCGUAAAAAGGAAUAACCUAAACAAUUUUAAAAAAUUAAAAUUGGUUUGAUUUUUCUUGACUAAAAAGGAAAAAAAACGAAAUUAACUUGAUCUCAAAUCAGAUAAGAGUACCCGCUGAACUUAAGCAUAUCAAUAAGCGGAGGAAAAGAAACUAACUAGGAUUCCCUCAGUAACGGCGAGUGAAGCGGGAAGAGCUCAAAUUUGAAAUCUUCAAGGUUUUACCUUGACGAAUUGUAGUUUAAAGAAGUGUUUUCUGUUGGAGUUUUGGUAAAAGUUCUUUGGAAAAGGACAUCAUAGAGGGUGAGAAUCCCGUAUUUGACCAUUAUCUCCAGCUUUGUGAUACACUUUCAAAGAGUCGGAUUGUUUGGGAAUGCAGUCCAAAAUGGGUGGUAAAUUUCAUCUAAAGCUAAAUACUGGCGAGAGACCGAUAGCGAACAAGUACCGUGAGGGAAAGAUGAAAAGAACUUUGAAAAGAGAGUUAAACAGUACGUGAAAUUGUCAAAAGGGAAGCGUUUGACACCAGUGUUGUUUUCUCGAAAAUCAAUUAAAAAAGGCCGGAUUUUGUGUUGUAUUGACUUUAUCAGCUUUCUGCACUUUUUUCUUGUCUUUUUUAAUGCACUUUUCGUUUAACAAGUCAACAUCAAUUUCUUUUGUUGUAAAAGGGUCAUUGGAAGGUGGCUUUCUUUUCGGAGAAAGUGUUUAUAGCCUUUGGCCUCUGCAAUCGGAGAGUUUGAGGUCUGCAGCGUAGAUCCUUCGGGGUUAGAUACAUUUGUGCUAAGUUAUAGCCUUUCAUAGACAACUUGUUGACUAUGAUCAGUCAUGUAGCUUACUCGCUUAUGCUAUUUUACCUACGCUUAGGAUGUUGAA
rnacentral:misc_RNA from 1 species